ensembl:snoRNA small nucleolar RNA SNORD53/SNORD92
UUAAUAUGAUGAUUCUGAGAAUGGUUUCGCAAACUCUACUGACAUUUCUGAUGUCACGUUUCUCUUGGCUAUCUGAUUAA